UGAGUUUCAAGUUUGUUAGUUAAAAUUUCAAUUCCAUGAGAAAUAUAGCUUAGACUUGCAUUUUUACUAGGUUGAAGUGAGUCUUUUUCUGAAUAUUCAUUGUGUAAAUUGUGUAGUUAUUAUGUGAGAAGUGCUGGAACCAUUGGAGCCUUCUUCGAGCAAGGCGAAAUGCAAGGAUAAGUUUGUUUAAGCUUUCAGCUUUUCGACAAAAGCGUAAUCGGUGAGUGUUUAGAAUCGCUGCUAGUAGACAAGAUUCAUAGUGCUAAUUUAGACCUUAGAAAU
rnacentral:lncRNA from 1 species